rnacentral:rRNA from 1 species
UAGGGAAUCUUCCGCAAUGGACGAAAGUCUGACGGAGCAACGCCGCGUGAGUGAAGAAGGAUUUCGGUUCGUAAAACUCUGUUGUUAGGGAAGAAAAAAUGUAUAGUAAUUAUAUACAAAAGAGACGGUACCUAACCAGAAAGCAACGGCUAACUACGUGCCAGCAGCCGCGGUAAUACGUAGGGGGCAAGCGUUGUCCGGAAUUAUUGGGCGUAAAGCGCGCGCAGGUGGUUUAGAAAGUCUGAUGUGAAAGCCCACGGCUCAACCGGGGAGGGUCAUUGGAAACUAAAAAACUUGAGUGCAGGAGAGAAAAGUGGAAUUCCUAGUGUAGCGGUGAAAUGCGUAGAGAUUAGGAGGAACACCGGUGGCGAAAGCGGCUUUCUGGCCUGCAACUGACACUGAGGCGCGAAAGCGUGGGGAGCAAACAGG